UGGGUUAGUGGCGGACGGGUGAGUAACGCGUGGGUAACCUGCCUUACACAGGGGGAUAACACUUAGAAAUAGGUGCUAAAACCGCAUAAGCGCACAGCUUCGCAUCGAAGCGGUGUGAAAAACUCCGGUGGUGUAAGAUGGACCCGCGUCUGAUUAGCUUGUUGGCGGGGUAACGGCCCACCAAGGCGACGAUCAGUAGCCGGCCUGAGAGGGCGGACGGCCACAUUGGGACUGAGACACGGCCCAGACUCCUACGGAAGGCAGCAG
rnacentral:rRNA from 1 species